UCCUCAUUAUUUCAACCUUAUUAAUCCUCUCCCCUCUCUCUCUCAGCUCAUCUCCUAUCACACUGAGAGGGCGGUGCCACGGCUUUAGUGACUCACCGCAUGGUGGCGGCAGCAGGAGGCACCUCGGCGGACGCCAUGAUCGACGGGAAGCACCUUGGGCGCGGGGUGGCGGCGAGUACCUCGGCGGAAGGCGGCGGCCGGAUCUGCCUUCGCUGGCCCCGCAACGGCCGGAUCCGCAAGCACCGGCCCCGCGACCGCCGACGACUUCAUCGGGCGCUCGAGUAGCAGCGGGCGUGGCGGGCGGUGCCUCGGGCGCAGGGCAGCGUUGAGCGGCUCGGCGGACGAUGGUGACCAGAUCCGCCUUCGCCAUGCCCGCGACGACCAGAUCCGCAGGCGCCGGCUUGAUCCGCCGGCGUCGGCGCUGCGACCACCGGACCCGCAUCGCUGCCGCCGUGAUUAUAGGCUGGGUUUUGUUUUUUUUAUUUUAUUUUUCCUGGAUUUUUAUUUUUACGUGCGGAUGCGCUACCUUUACAUAUAAAUCAGAUUUUUGCAGAUCAUUUGGGUCAGCCUUCCACACUUAAAAAUAGGUUUUGGGCCGGCUGGAAAUUUUUUUUUUACGAGUGGUAUUACAAUGGAUAUCUGCAUCUUCAGAUAGUUGGCACCGCAAGAUCGAGGAGUUGACGACAGUAGCCUCCUCGACAUCAACGUGAAGGUCAUGUGGUAACCUCAAUAAAUGAGAAUUGGUUGGCGGCGCCAAAAAAAGAUGCAACUCGCAACAGGCACAGCAUUGGGGAGCAUGCAUGCGCUCUGCGUCAACGGAUGCGGCAUCCUUGUUGCUGUGUUUCCCUGCCAUAUCUCAACUCCUAAUUGGUUGGGGCUUUUCUGGACAUUAACAGAAAAAUGGUGGCAAACCUUUAAUUGGUGGCGGGAAGAAAUAACUGAGUUCGGAGACCUUGAUGAAUCCAAGGAUCAAUCUUGGAUGAUACAUCGGCGCCAACAUUCAGAAACUAUGAUGAAUCCAAGGAUCCAACCGAUGGCCUAGGAAGAAAUCAAUUAGAAGAUGAUCAAGGAAAAAAUGAAACUUCUGAUGCAACCAAAUCUAUGGAAGACAAGGUGCCAAAGGUCGGAAUGAAAUUUAACUCUGAACAAGAAGCUUAUGACUUCUAUAAUGCUUAUGCUGGUGAAAAAGGUUUCAACAUUAGAAGAAGCAGCUAUCGAUCAUGUGGGAAAUACCAAAAUUAUUAAAAACAAGACAUUUUGUUGUUCUUAUCAAGGUACUAGAGGUAUUGAUAAAAGAGCAGAAGCUGCAGGCUAUGGUGAUAGUUUUAGUAAGCCAGAAACUCAAUGCAAGUGUCAAGCAUGUAUGAAGAUAAGUCUCAUAGAUGGAUUAUAUUCUGUCUACCACUUUGUGCCUGAACAUAGUCAUAAUCUUGCAACAAAAAGCCAGGCUCAUCAGUUAAGAUCACAAAGGAAGAUAAAUGAAGCUCAGGUUGCAAGUGUUGAAGUCGCAAAAUCUGUAGGCAUUUCUACUAAAGAAGCCAUUGAUUUGAUGGCAAAACAAGCAUGUGGAUUUGAGAAUCUCGGCUUUACUAGUGUUGACAUGAAGAACAAGUUAUACUCAAAGAGAUCACUGCAGACAAAACAAGGUGAUGCAGGAGGAGUUUUGGAAUAUAUGGAGAAGAAAGCAUCAGAAGAUGGAAGAAGCAAAAACAAUUUUGACAAAUGAAGAUGCAGCCAUGGCUAAAGCAAUCAAAAUAGUAUUUCAAGGAACUCAUCAUCGGAUAUCUGUGUGGCAUAUGAAUCAGAAUGCUGACUUCCAGAACUGCAUAUAUGACGGUGGGGGCUUCCCCUACCGUGGUUCUUUCAAAAAAAAAGAAGAGGAAGAAGAAUUUAUAUAUGUAUGGAACCAACUACUUGACAAAUAUGAGCUGCAGCAAAAUACAUGGUUGCGACGGCUUUUUGAUAAAAGGCACCAAUGGGCACUAGUAUAUGGGCGAAACACAUUUUCUGCUGAUACGAGUACCACACAAAGAAAUGAAAGCUUGAAUAAUCAAUUAAAAGGUUACAUUAGUGUAAAGUAUGACAUGCUUACUUUUUUUGAGCACUUUGACAGAUUGGUGGGAGAUAAGAGAAAUGAGGAGGUGAUUUCAAAGCAACACAUACUACACCAAAGCUAAAGGCAGAGUUGAGAAUACUGAGAGAUAUGGCAGAAGUUUAUACUCUAGCAGUCUUAAGAUAUUUGCGGAAGAAGUAAUGCAGUCUUUGAAUUGUGACAUAUUCUACUGCGGUGAUGUUGAUGCAGAAAAUAAAGGUUAGUGGAAAGAAUCAUGAACAUGUUAAAUUCUCACCGUUGGAAUCUACUGUUAAGUGCAGUUGCAAGAAGUUUGAAUUCGUCGGCAUCCUGUGCUCUCAUGCAUUGAAAAUACUUGACAUCAACAAUAUCAAAUCAGUUUCGCAAUAGUAUAUAUUAAAAAGAUGGACAAUUGAUGCAAAAGUACUACGUGUAAGUGGAAGUAGCAAUAUGCAUGAUGAUCCUAGAAUUAAGUUAUCAGAUCGGUACUCCUCAUUGUGCAAAAUGUUUGUUAAAAUAGCUUGUCGAGUUGCAAAAUCUGAAGAAACAUACUCCAUGUCAACUAAUUGUGCUGAAAAAUUGGCAGAAGAUAUAGAGAACUUCUUGAAAAUUAGAGGUGAUCCAGAUUUAGACAGCUCCCCUUCCCCACAAGUUGCAAAAGGAAAUCAGAUCAUGGCUAGUAAACCAAAAGGCAUUGAGCUCAAGAGAAAGGAAAUUUGUGGUUCAGCUAGACCUAUUGGUGGCUUAGAGAAAUCAUCUCAGAACGGGAAAAAGAAGAAGAAUGAUGACUCCCCAGCCGAGGUAGUAGAACUUCAACCUGUGACAGAGAUGCAGCCACAGCCAUAUGCUACAGUACUGGGUAAUCUAGAGGUUCCCAAUGACCAAGCAUUUUUACAUGUAUCACAGUCAGCGUUCUAAUUAGCGGGCUAUAGCGGUUUUGCCGAGCAACAGCUAGGAGAAGUCAAUUUUGCAGCUAAGCUUCGCGGGCCGCUAUUAGCUGUAUUUAGCCCGACAUAGCCGCUAAACGGGCUGAAUGAGCGGUCGCUAAAUGGGCUAAAAAUGAAGCCUGCUUCUCUAACUCUAACCCUAACUCUCUCUCUCUCUCUCUCUCUCUCUCCCGAUCUCGCCUAAGAGGAGAAGAACCGGCGGCGGAGGCAACUGCGCGGCGACGGAAGCGAGCAACGGCGGCCGCCGGUCCCCAUCCCUGCUCCUCCGUCCUCCCCUCAUGCAGCGACAGUGGAUCUAACCCGCGGCGGCGGUGGCGGCUUUCGUGCUGCUGCUCCCCUGCUGCCGGCGGCGGCCACGGUUGCUGCUACUCCCCUGCGCCGGCGCAGCGGUGGCUGCUGCUCCCAUGCGACGUCGGCUACCGCGGCUGGUGCUCCCCUGCGGUGCCGGCGGCUGCAGCUGCUGCUUCUGCUCCCUUGUGGCACUGGUUGCGGUCGCUGCUCCCCAACAGAGCCGGUGGCUGCUGCUGCUCGUUCUUCUCCGAGCAGCAGCGAUGGCUCUCUAUUCCCUGAGAAGCGGCAGCAGCUCCUUCUUCCCCAAUCGAGCAACACCACUCUGCUCUAAUGACAGAUAAGAUUAUUUCUCAAAUCGCAAUGCACUUUAUUUAUUUCUCAAAUCGCAAUGCACUUUAUCUGGACUUGGAAAGAACGAGAGCAAUUUUGUUGUCGUUGUUGUUCGUCACUUUAUCAGGCUUAAUAUGAAUAAUCUAAAUUGUUGAUGAAUUGUUAUGUGUAUCUGUGAAAUAAUGUGUCAAAAUUUAGUCUACAUGCUGUCAAAAUUUUCAACUUUUUUUUAAACCGCUAAAUGGCUUAGCUGCCGCUAUAGCCCGCUAUAGCUUCUCUUAGCUGUUGGAGAGUCCAACCACUAAGAGGCUUAGCCCGCUAUUUAGAACCUUGAUCACAGUACUAUGCUGCUUUGGAUGCAUCAACUUCAAAUCCUAUUCGUGUCUCAAAUGACUCUAGAAAAUCAAGGGUUGCACCAGCAAGGGAGGUCAAUUCAACAAUUUGACACUCAUUUAUACAAUCUGUUCAAUUAAUCUAGUUACAGUAUCUUGUCUCAAUGUAGUAUUCAUUUCUAUUUUGCACAGAAACAUUUUAUUUUCAAUUUACUGAAAUAUACACUUCAGUGAUCUAGUUUACUUAUAGUUCACAUGUGGAGCCCCACUAUUGUUCUACUCGUUUGCAGUAUGCAACUUUUCCAAAAGUAAUGUGUUUUUUGGUUAGAUCUACAAUAGGUGACAUGCAAAUGAGCAUUGAAAUAUGCAGAAAUCCUCUUCAGCCCAAAUAAAAUACUACUAUCUGAAACAUCCAUAGCAUUCGCAGGUUGUAACAAAAUGAAUAGAUCUAGAGAAAAAAUAGGCAUGCAACAACAAAGGAUGGAUUCCUUACCGAAUAUCCAAGCUCAUGCACUUGAUGCAGCUAGAUCACAAGCAGUGGUAUGCUCGCGUGUGGCGACGCUUGUGCUCCUCCUGUUGACCACAAGCAGCGGAAUCCAGCGGUGUGACCGCGCGCGGCGCUUGUUUUCGCCACAAGCAGCUCAAUGAGGCUUGGUUGAUGGAGAAGGAAAACAUAACUUCCAUUCUUCAGGGGCAAGCAAAUAGACAGGGUACCUCAAUUAGGGAAAAAUAAAUAAAUAAACUGUAACUGUGAAUUGGAGGAAAAGAAUCACAGGGUUUUCUAACAUCUGCUUCUAAUGUGUAUUCCAAAUCACAAAAAUGUCCGGAAGUAUUUGGCCUAAACGAAAUGCAUGAAUAUUAGUGCUAUGUACAGAUGAAUCUGAUCUAA